GGGGGCGACUGGUUUCGACAUGGUACGUUUGAUCUGAGGAGCAGGCCGUGGUCUCCUCGCCACGAUAAACAGGGGUACCGUCAAGUUAAUUGGCAAGAACAACACUCAGAGCGCUCCGGCGCUCGCCAUGGCUGCUUAAUUUAGCUGGCCCGUCAAACCCGGAUUGUCUCCGCUCCGGGGGCGACGUCAUUUCAGGGGGCUGCAUCGAAGCACGUAGCCUGUAUGGCUUCGAUUAAGACCGAACGGGCUAGGGCGCUCAACGCGUGUCCGUGAGCCGCGAACGUCCGAAACCUGACCACGGAAUAAGCUUGUAGAGCCUGAGGGAGAAUGUAGUAUGGACCGGAGUUCGAUUCUCCGCGCCUCCACCA
rnacentral:tmRNA from 1 species